rnacentral:rRNA from 1 species
ACCAGCGGAGGGGUCACA